UACGGGGGGGGCAAGCGUUGUUCGGAAGUACUGGGCGUAAAGGGCUUGUAGGUGGCCAACUAAGUCAGACGUGAAAUCCCUCGGCUUAACCGGGGAACUGCGUCUGAUACUGGAUGGCUUGAGUGUGGGAGAGGGAUGCGGAAUUCCAGGUGUAGCGGUGAAAUGCGUAGAUAUCUGGAGGAACACCGGUGGCGAAGGCGGCUCGCUGGACCGGAACUGACGCUGAGGCGCGAAAGCGUGGGGAGCAAACAGG
rnacentral:rRNA from 1 species